AGGUUUUGACGACAUCCAGUGACCGCGAUUGAGGCACCUUGAUCAACCAGUCAUCAGUUAGGACAAUAACAAGAUGUUUCUUGGGAAUAAAUCCAAGUCGUGGCACAAAGACGGAAAGGCAAGUUGGCCAGAAGAGUGGGAAGGUCCAGGAGAAGAGGAACAACACCGUCAAUCUGCGGGUAUCCUCACUCCUGAGGCGAUUAAUGGACUUUGAAUGGCUUAGUGCCUAGGCCAUUUUGGAAAUGAGGUCUCCUCUCCUCCCUAAUAUGUUACAUACUGUAACAUGCCACUAGGGCGUGAAUGUUUUUAGUUUACAAACUUUCUUGUUGAUAUGAGUUGUAACUCAGGUUCUGCAUUUACUCGGAGAGUUCUCAGGUUCUUGCUAUAGAUGUUGCACUCUUUUACUGUAACUUGGCAUACGGUACUGCAUUUAUCAGACAGCAGUUGAGGGGCUUCUCAGCCAGGGGGACACUCAUAAAGAAGUUUGCCAUUGUAAUUUUGUGACCUACAUUAACUUAGGGGAAAAAAGAUCUGAAAUUUACUCAACAUAGAAUUCUGUAAUUUCUAAGCCCAUGAUCUGCCCCAUUACAUCACUUCACAUUUCAUUCUGUUCUAUGUUCCCUAUUGAAAUGAAGGACAUCAUGUAGGUAUUGUGCCAUUGUGUUUUUCUAUAUCUUACUGUAUAUUUACUGUCUGUUUCCACUGCAUAAUUGUUGGAGAAUAUUCUCCAAGGUUCCUCUAAAUGUCCUCUCCAUGCUGUCUAGAGCCUUAAAAUUUUGGUGCUUACCAGUGUUUCUGAGGAAUGUGCUAAUAAUGGUCAUAAUUGCAGAUGUGCUGAACGGUAUGUAAGGCUCUAAUUAUAGGAGUUGUUCAGGGAAAUUGUUAUUGAAUAAAAACAAAUUUUAAAAAUUA